rnacentral:rRNA from 2 species
ACUGAUUGAUGGUGCUUGCACCUGAUUGACGAUGGAUCACCAGUGAGUGGCGGACGGGUGAGUAACACGUAGGUAACCUGCCCCGGAGCGGGGGAUAACAUUUGGAAACAGAUGCUAAUACCGCAUAACAACAAAAGCCACAUGGCUUUUGUUUGAAAGAUGGCUUUGGCUAUCACUCUGGGAUGGACCUGCGGUGCAUUAGCUAGUUGGUAAGGUAACGGCUUACCAAGGCGAUGAUGCAUAGCCGAGUUGAGAGACUGAUCGGCCACAAUGGAACUGAGACACGGUCCAUACUCCUACGGGAGGCAGCAGUAGGGAAUCUUCCACAAUGGGCGCAAGCCUGAUGGAGCAACACCGCGUGAGUGAAGAAGGGUUUCGGCUCGUAAAGCUCUGUUGUUGGAGAAGAACGUGCGUGAGAGUAACUGUUCACGCAGUGACGGUAUCCAACCAGAAAGUCACGGCUAACUACGUGCCAGCAG